UACAGAGGUCCCGAGCGUUGUUCGGAUUCACGUGGGCGUAAAGGGUGCGUUAGGUGGUGAGGUAAGUCGGAGUGUGAAAUCUCCGGGCUCAACCGGAAAUGGCAUUGGAAACUACCUGCUGGAGGAUUUGAGGGGGGAUUGGAAUACGUUGGUGUAGCAGUGAAAUGGCGCGAGACUAAUCAGGAGGAACGACCAAUGGGCGAAAGGCAGCUCCGCUGGGGACGGU
rnacentral:rRNA from 1 species